AUGAACGCUGGCGGCGUGCCUAAUACAUGCAAGUCGCGCGAACAGACGAGGGGCUUGCUCCUCUGACGUUAGCGGCGGACGGGUGAGUAACACGUGGAUAACCUACCUAUAAGACUGGGAUAACUUCGGGAAACCGGAGCUAAUACCGGAUAAUAUAUUGAACCGCAUGGUUCAAUAGUGAAAGACGGUUUUGCUGUCACUUAUAGAUGGAUCCGCGCCGCAUUAGCUAGUUGGUAAGGUAACGGCUUACCAAGGCAACGAUGCGUAGCCGACCUGAGAGGGUGAUCGGCCACACUGGAACUGAGACACGGUCCAGACUCCUACGGGAGGCAGCAGUAGGGAAUCUUCCGCAAUGGGCGAAAGCCUGACGGAGCAACGCCGCGUGAGUGAUGAAGGUCUUCGGAUCGUAAAACUCUGUUAUUAGGGAAGAACAAAUGUGUAAGUAACUAUGCACGUCUUGACGGUACCUAAUCAGAAAGCCACGGCUAACUACGUG
rnacentral:rRNA from 1 species